UAGAAUCUAACAAUGGAAUGUUAGAUUGUGACUGGCUUCUUUCACUUAGCACAGUAUUUACAAGGUUCACUUAUGUUGUAAACAUGUAUCACUGCUCUCCUUUGUAUUGCCAAAUAAUAUUCCAUUGUGGAGAUGUAUCGUAUUAUUUAUCCAUUCAUCAGUUGAAAUGAACAAGUUUCCCACCUUGGAAAAUCUUCACCUAACCCUUCCUAAGUCCUCUACAGCAACAGCUCUGUUUCUUAGCCAAGACUGUGGAAUGAGAGGAAAUGUCUAGAAUUACUGAAAUCCAGAAUCUGAGUGGCAGAGGGCUCUACACCUAGUAGUUACACUAAAUUUUGUAGUUUAACUAUUCCUGAGACAGAGAGAGAUCAACAGUGAUCACACCAAGAUCCCAAUGCAGAAGGUAAGUAAGAAAGUGUGUCUGGUCGCUAUUAUCUGAAAAUAAAUGUCUUUCCUCUAGAAGCACUCACCCCUCUCACCCAGCAGCCCUCCACCUCCACCACACCUCACUGCCUGAGCUUCUAAAGGGGUUGUUUGGUUUUAAUUUAUGUCUCUGCUCUCUUCCUUACCUCUUUAGAGCACUAAUCCACGUUUGGCCAGUUCCCGCU